UACGGGGGGGGCAAGCGUUGUUCGGAAUUACUGGGCGUAAAGGGCUCGUAGGUGGCCAACUAAGUCAGACGUGAAAUCCCUCGGCUUAACCGGGGAACUGCGUCUGAUACUGGAUGGCUUGAGUUUGGGAGAGGGACGCGGAAUUCCAGGUGUAGCGGUGAAAUGCGUAGAUAUCUGGAGGAACACGGGUGGCGAAGGCGCUCUACUGGGCCACAACUGACGCUGAGGGACGAAAGCUAGGGGAGCGAAAGGG
rnacentral:rRNA from 1 species